GUCCAGGUGGCUCAGUGGUUGAGCACCUGACUUUGGCUCAGGGCAUGAUCCCGGGGUCCUGGGAUCAAGUCCCAUGUUGGGCU
rnacentral:tRNA from 1 species